rnacentral:rRNA from 1 species
GAUGAACGCUGGCGGCGUGCCUAAUACAUGCAAGUCGAGCGAACGGACGAGAAGCUUGCUUCCCUGAUGUUAGCGGCGGACGGGUGAGUAACACGUGGAUAACCUACCUAUAAGACUGGGAUAACUUCGGGAAACCGGAGCUAAUACCGGAUGAUAUUUUGAACCGCAUGGUUCAAAAGUGAAAGACGGUCUUGCUGUCACUUGUAGAUGGAUCCGCGCUGCAUUAGCUAGUUGGUAAGGUAACGGCUUACCAAGGCAACGAUGCAUAGCCGACCUGAGAGGGUGAUCGGCCACACUGGAACUGAGACACGGUCCAGACUCCUACGGGAGGCAGCAGUAGGGAAUCUUCCGCAAUGGGCGAAAGCCUGACGGAGCAACGCCGCGUGAGUGAUGAAGGUCUUCGGAUCGUAAAACUCUGUUAUUAGGGAAGAACAUAUGUGUAAGUAACUGUGCACAUCUUGACGGUACCUAAUCAGAAAGCCACGGCUAACUACGUG